GCACGGGGGCAACCCUGGUGGCGAGUGGCGAACGGGUGAGUAAUGCAUCGGAACGUGCCCAGUAGUGGGGGAUAACUAGUCGAAAGAUUAGCUAAUACCGCAUACGACCUAUGGGUGAAAGCGGGGGACCUUUACCGGCCUCGCGCUAUCGGAGCGGCCGAUGUCUGAUUAGCUAGUUGGCGGGGUAAAAGCCCACCAAGGCGACGAUCAGUAGCUGGUCUGAGAGGACGACCAGCCACACUGGACUGAGACACGGCCCAGACUCCUACGGGAGGCAGCAGUGGGGAAUUUUGGACAAUGGGCGCAAGCCUGAUCCAGCCAUGCCGCGUGCGGGAAGAAGGCCUUCGGG
rnacentral:rRNA from 1 species